rnacentral:rRNA from 1 species
UACAGAGGGGGCAAGCGUUGUUCGGAAUUACUGGGCGUAAAGGGCGCGUAGGCGGCCUGCUAAGUCGAACGUGAAAUCCCUGGGCUCAACCCAGGAACUGCGUCCGAUACUGGUUGGCUUGAAUCCGGGAGAGGGACGUGGAAUUCCAGGUGUAGCGGUGAAAUGCGUAGAUAUCUGGAGGAACACCGGUGGCGAAGGCGACGCCUGGGACCCGGCAUUGACGCUGAGGCGCGAAAAGCCAGGGGAGCAAACGGG